rnacentral:rRNA from 1 species
CACGUAGGGGGCGAGCGUUGUCCGGAUUUAUUGGGCGUAAAGAGCUCGUAGGCGGCUCGGUAAGUCAGGUGUGAAAACUCUAGGCUCAACCUAGAGACGCCACCUGAUACUGCCGUGGCUAGAGUCCGGUAGGGGAGCAUGGAAUUCCUGGUGUAGCGGUGAAAUGCGCAGAUAUCAGGAGGAACACCAGUGGCGAAGGCGGUGCUCUGGGCCGGAACUGACGCUGAGGAGCGAAAGCGUGGGGAGCGAACAGG